CAGACAUGAUGGUAGGCAAGAAAUAACCCCCCAAAAAAAACUCACGAAGUAGGGAUAAGGGCCUAAAAAAUAGGAAACAAUCAGACUCCACGCGAAUCCGGAAAAAGUAGGAUAGAGGAAAAAGGGGUACCGGAGAAAAGCGCGGUACCCACAUAAAAAAAAAGAAUUAUGGUUCUAAGCAUAAAGGGAUGCGAAUAAGGCCCGGAAAGGGUAGGAAACAACAAGAGAGGAUACCGACAAGGGAAGAGGCCAAGCCGCAGGGCUUGCCCAAAGAAGAGCGGGGCUGGAGAGGUCUCGCGAGGUGGAUGGGGAGCCUCGGAAGCUGGCGAGGCUGGGUGGCCCGUGAAGUCUGGGCCAGGUCGGCUAGCCUUGCGCAGGGCGGGAUCUGCUGGGUGUUUGGAGGUGCUUUGAUACCAAGUUGACAAAUGGAAAAGCAUAGUAAUAUUUUUUUAAUGUUAUCUUUCACACAUUACCUAAGCCUAUUAUAGGCCAACAACCGAGAAGAUGAUGAGUAAGUAAGAACCUUAUCAUAAUAACAAGUCUACAAAAUGGGCUAGCAAGUCACCAAUGGUGACUCCAAAUUUUCAACAGUAUUAAGCUACCUAACAAUUAGUAUCUUCAAUAAUGUUAGGUUACCUAACAUUGUAGGCUUCCUAAUAAUCUUCCCAUUUUGGGCUUGGAGUUAGUCAAAUAUAAUAGUACAUGCUUUUUUUAUUUCCAAUAGUUUUCAUAACCAAGUUCAGUAAGUGCAAGGAGAUAAAAUAUCAAGUACUAGCUCUGGUAAAGUUAGGGCAAGCACCGUUGCUGGGUUGUCGCUCUAUAGCUAGCUCGGCGGGGACUCUAUGCCGGAACUUUGUCGAGAUGCCUAGUAAUGGGAUAAACAUUAGCUCUGGCUGGGCUAGGGCAAUCACCUCUGCCAAGUUAUCACUUCAUAGCAAACUCGGCAAGGUCACUGUGUCAGAGCUUAGUUGAGACACAAUGGUCGGUGGCAAUCUCGAGACACAUUAGGGGGCAGAAGAUGGCUUGUACAACGAGGCGCAGACUACAUGACUGACUACCUACUAGCUAUGCCUUAGGCGCAUGGAUGGGUCAGCCGCCUAUUUAUUGACAUAGCAAUCAGCGCGUCCAGGCACGCGCCGAGUUACAAUCUAUCCAAUGAUAUGACAAUUGGCGCAUUAAGGCACGCAUCGAACAACUAUGUAAGGCUAGGCCAUAUUCAUUUCAAAGGAGUGCAAUUUCAGCUGCUCUAAGUUUAUACAUUCUCUCUCUCUAUAUACACUUUGUAUCCACCAGUCAUCUAACUUGACUAUCGGAGAGUUGUUCCCGAAAAUAGCUCUAGCAGUUGCUCUCACUGUUCCUAUCUUGCAGCUAAGUCCAACAAGCUUAAAGCACCGUCCACCGCCGCCAACAGUCGUGCAGCCACCACAUGUUUCUAUUUUUGAUUUUCUCUCCUCCAUUUUUAGUAUCCACACCCCACAAUUGGCGCCAUCUGUAGGAAAUCUAACCAGAGACAUCUAUAAACACAAUUCUUAUGGCAUCACAAAGAAACAAUGGUUCUGGUAGCCAUGAAACCCGACGGGAUCAUCCUUUCAUGCCUAAAACUCUGGGCGAGAGAGGCACUAAAGUAUUGGCCUAUGCCUUCCCUCUAUGCAAAGAAAAGGCCGGUUGGUUCCCGAAGGUGAAAGACAGCUGGGAUGUCACCAUCAGGCAUUUGGAAACUCAAUUGGUAGAGCUAAUACAGAUCAUGGUGGCCAACAAACUACUGAAGCCAGCCUCAGGGGUUGGUGAGGGGCCAUCUGAGGAGGUCCAAGCGGCGAGAGGACCCACCUCGGGGUGACAGGAAGAAAAAACAAGCAGAAUCCCACAUUGAGGAAGAGAGCAGAAGUUAUAGCAAAACUGUAGCGUUGGGUGACCGUAAGGUUUCAACGAGAUGAACCCAUUCCGGUGUGGACCUACGUGAGACCCUAAAUGCCAAACGAAACUGGGAUGAGGAUUUACGAGUGAAGUUGCUUGCCAAGGUGGCGUUUCCCGCCAAAACAUCAUCUCAGAAAAAUUAGUAACCAAAAUUGUUAGGUCCAUACCAAGAGAACAACUUCCGAGGUACAAAACCUCUUUCUCACUCGAGAUUGAGGGAAUGGAUCCCCUGAAAAAGUUCACUCCCCCGAAGUUUACACUGUACAACGGGAAGUUAGAUCAAGGUUGCACAUCAGCCUUUUCAAGCAAGUGAGGUACUUUGGAACCAUCAUGAUGCCCUCAUGUGCUGAAUAUUUCCAUCGAGCCUGGGUAAUCUCGUGCUGAAAUGGUUUUAAAAAGCUCCCUACAGGGUCCAUCAGGAGCUUCUACCAACUUUCUGAGUCAUUUGUGGCUUAAUUUGUCAUCAACGCAAAGGCACCAUCUGAUGCUCCGUAAAGGCAAGAACGAAACGCUUUGCAACUAUAGAAAACGCUAUUUUGGAGCUGUACAACGAGAUUGAGGAGUGCUCAUAAGAGCUUGCCGUGUUCAGCUAUAAGCUCGGGAUGACCUUGGGCAAGAAGUUGUGGGAAGACUUCGAGACUUGAUGAUGCGGUUUAAGAUGCUUUCUCAAUUGGAAGAAGACAUCGGGCAAGCUGAAUGAGCUACGAGGUCUUCGUCUUGGGGUGACGGUCAGAUCAAAAAGCAUCGGGAAAGUAUGGCGGACCAUGAAGAUCGAGUGAGGCAGGCAUUAACGUGGUUUUCAUGGAACCUAUUUAUAAACUCCUCACCCAGAUCCGAGAUGAGCCAUAUUACCGAAAGCCAGCCCCCAUGGGAAGAGAUCACAAAAAACGCAAUUAGUAGUGAAAAUGUGCCUUCCACCAGGAAAAAUGGCACCUAACAGAGAAUUGCAAAGCUUUAAAGUCUCUCUUGGAGCAACUUGUUCAAAUUGGGCAGCUGAAAGAAAGAAUAUAUUGAUUAGGAGAAGGCAGAGACAAAGGAGACCAAGGUCAGAUGAAACCCAAGGUUCGACCGAGGUAAUCACGAAAUUGAUGAUGCCUUGGAGAAAGACCUCCCCUUCGGAACUAUCCACAUGAUCGAGGGCCCAAAUCACCCCGACCUUGAGAAUAGGAUUAGGGGAGAGAUCCGCAUCGUCAAAGAAAUGCAUGGGGUUCUCUCGGUCUAGCCAGUGAUGAGGAAGCCAAGACAGGGCUUAUCCGAGUUAAGAAGCAUCAUUUUCACCAAAGUAGAUCUUAAGCAGGUCCAACGCCCUCACAGCGAUCCUUUGGUCAUCCAACUAUGGAUCUACGGCUACGAUGCCAAACAAAUCUUGGUGGACUUCGAAAGUUCGGUUAAGGUGAUGUAUUAUGACUUUUUUAAACAAUUAAAAUUGUUUAAGGCAGCUCCAAAGCUGGCUCAAGCUCUGUUUCUUGGGUUCAAUGCUCAAUUUCCCUAGCCAUUGGCAUUUGUAACCCUCAAAGUUCAAGCUGGUUCCUAAGAGUUAGUGACAGAGUUCGUUGUUGUUGAUAUCCCCUCCCCCUAUAACACAAUCGUUGGUCAUGAUUAGUUACAUAGGGUGAAAGGAGUUGCAUCCACUCUGCCCCAGAUCAUCAAGUUCGCCACCCCCCAAGGGCAAGGAAACACUCCAUGGAGAUCAAGUGGCGGUGAAACAAUGCUCUCUCACCACAUUAGGUACAAAGGCAACCAUGAAGGUGCAGUUGAUGGAAGAGGAGAGGGAAGUCCCGUAGAAUCUUGACAAAAUCACUCAGGUUAGUCAAAAAGGACAUUCAUUGUGAACUCGAUGAGCCAAGCUUGGGCCAUUACUUCCAUGCUCAAAACUGAAAGAAAAGAUAACCGAGCUAUCAAGGUUCCUAAAAGCAAAACAUUCGAAACAAUAAUUGAGGUUCAUGAGGUUCUCAAGGAACCAUCUUAGGUCAAAUCUACACCUACGGUCAAAGAUUUUGACGAGGGUUCUGAGGCUCGGAAGGAGCCACCUUGGAUCAAUCCAAGGCUGACCUUGUUUUUAAGUCCUUGGAGGUACCAAGGACUCAAUAUGAAGCUCGGCUACAAUUGAAAAGGUCCAUAACUGUUAAGCUCACUGACAAGGGCACUUAACAUCUUGGAAAUCCGGAAGGCAAACGAGUCCCGAGACCCUGGAACUCCAACAACUUGAGAGAACAAUGAACAUGUAACUUCUUUCGGUACUUAGAUUGUAUUUAUAAAAGUUGUACAUUAUUUUUUUGACUAUUCGUCAAACUUAUUUGCCACAUCUGCUAAAUUUAGAUACUUUUGAUUAUGCAAAUAGUGAUUAUCUUAUUUGUUUUUAAACUUGAAAAUUUUGAAAAUAUACAUGGCUCGGAUGAAGUUUCAUGUUUUGAUGUCAUGAGGUUUCGAAAAAUUUUCCAAUUAUAAAAUAUUUCAAAAUGAAUUUAAAUCGAGAUGCAUUCCUCGUUUGGCUGUGCACGAGCUAAGGUGGUCCUAACGAAAAACACGAGACUAGUCACUGAGUUGCUUAAUCAUGAGCUUGAAUCCUAAAUCAGCGUGACUAAUCGGUGACCUGCUCAAGCAUGAGCUUGAGGUAUCUUAAAAUAGCGCAAGACUAGUUGACGCUGAGCUGCUCAAGCAUGAGCUUGAAAAUUCGUGAAGCUGUGCGACUAAUCGCCGACCUACUUAACGCACGAGCUUGAGGUGUCCUAAAGCUAAAUCUCGAUGCUAUUCCGCCGAACUUGCUCAAGCAUGAGCUUGAAAUGUCCUAAAGUAUACAAUUUUGAAGAAAAGUAUCACCUACGCUAUUGCAUGCAGAACAACAAAAUGUCGCUAAGGCAUGCACAAAACUUAAUGACAAGCUGCUUGAGUACUGAACUCAACAACAUUCAGAACAAAAGACGUGUAAAAUAGCAAAUUUUCGCUAAGGCAUGUGAGUUUUCUCAACCGAGCUUAGACAAGUCAAGAGAGCAGCUAUAUAGACGUUAUAAGCAUGCAAACAACUAAAUAUUCGCUAAGGCAUGAUACGACUUGAUCUCCGAGAUGUUGGAUCAUCGAGCUCAUAGUUAUCAAAACAUAAAGCAAUGCAAAAAGCAGAUAUUUACUAAUGCAUUGGCAAGCUAUACUAACACUGAGGUCCUAAAUCAUUCAAACAUACAAAGGCAGAAACAAGCCAAGGCAAGAGCUAAGGUAAGAAACAACCUGGAGAAAGAAAAAUAACAUUUCGUAGACACAUAACAAUGUAACGAUAGCAGGUCACAUUUCGUAUUUUCAAUAUAAAUUUCACUACGGGUCCCUGUAGGUUAACUACAGUUUCACUUUGGUCACUAUAGUCCUAAUUGUAAAAAUUAGUAUUCUAAUAUCUGUUAAUAAUUUUAACAUGAAAGAAGCAUUUCAAACUCACAUGUCCAUUUUUAGAAAUCGAAGUAAAACAUUUUAUAAAACUAUAGGAACCAACAUGGUAAAAUUACCUACUAAACAUGGCUCUGUUAACUCUAGGUGCUCAUUGAAAACACGAAAUGUGAUCUCCCAUUACAGGAACUCAGAAAACUCAACAACCACCAUCAAUGGCAAAUGGGCAAUCACAACCAACCAACAGACAAACCCCAAGAUUGACGAAUCACAGAUGCUACUGUAUGCACAGAAUAGGGGGGAUUCUAAAUUUACAAAAGGCCAAAUGGGCUGAACAUAAAUAGAAGAACAUAACAAUGUAACGAUGGCAGAAAAAUUUCUCAAAAAACUUACAUAAACAGCUUGAAAAUGGGCUAAGAGCAAGAAGAGAAUCGCUUGUGAACGGGUAAUGAUUGUCGGCAACAAAAGCGAUGUCAACGACGGUGGUUGGACGACAACAAAUUUUUAUCAGACAAUCUCAUUUUCUCUCUCUAAAAAUUCUCAGAUUCUAGAAGAAUAGUGCUAGGGAAGACGAAGGGGCAUUUAUAGGAAGUUCAAGAGGUGGGAAAAAUUUUCCACACCCUUAAGACGCGUCGUUUGUCGGGCCAAAAUUUUGCUACGAACCAAUCAUAAGCAAACACGAGGCAACUCGCUGACUGUGCGUCUAAGCCAAACAGACAUUAAAGGUAGUUGGGCACUUCGGCAUCCAUGACCAACCGAGCUUGGAGCAAAUUAGACCUCGACGCAUGGCACCGCAAUACAACAAAGUGAUAAAUCCGUACAGAGAUUGGACAACUUGCAGGCACUGGCACACCUACCCAACCGAGCUUCAACGUCUAACAUCUCAGACAUCUAGCUUACAUGACCUCGGUUAGCAAUGAUUCAGCUCAUGCAAACUGAGGGGCAAUUAGAAGGGGCUAAAAUACCAAGUACUAGCUCCAGUCGAGCUAGGGCAAGUAUUGUUGCUCUAUAGCAACCUCGGUGGGAUCUUUGCGCUAGAGUUUGGUCGAGAUAUAUUGGAUAAACAUUAGCUUUGGCCAAGCUAGGGCAAGCACCUCUGUCGGGUUGUCGCUCCAUAGCAAGCUCGACAAGGUCACUGCGUCGGAGCUCGGUUGAAACACAACGGUCAGCGGCGAUCCCUAGGCACAUCAGGGAACAUAAGGUGGAUUGCACGACGAGAUUUCCUCUGACAGCCCCCACGCCUGGAUCAAGGCGUAGACUACAUGACUGGCUAGCUACUAGCCAUGCCUUAGGGUCAUGGCUGGGUGACCCUCCUACUCACUGACACAGCAGUCAACGCGUCCAUACAUACGUUGAGCUGUAGUCAUAGUUAUCAGAAUCGAACCGAAUCAGACCGGCCUGUUCAAUCAGUUGAACUAGGAACCAGACCAUGAACCGGUGCGGUUUAAUUAAUUUACCAGAAAUGCAUAUGAACCGGAUUGAAUCGGAUGAACCAGGAGGUUUUUUGAAAAAUCUGUGAACCAACCAACCGGCCAGUUCAACCGAAAAACCGUUGACCAACUUUGACUUUUUAAGUCACUUUUAAAAAAUCGAUGUAUUUGUGGCUCCCCAGAGUUGAACAAAUUGAUGUAUUUAUGACUCCCAAGAGUUGAACUUGAGAUCUAAGGGUAAAACUAAGCAAUACUUACCACUGCUUCACUUGAUUCCUUGUGUUUUACUUUGCAAUAUAAAUUAUAUUUAAGGUAAAAUAUAUAUAUGAAUAAAUAAAAUUUAUUUAAUUUAUAAUACCAGUUGAAUCGGUUGAACUACCAGUUGAACCAAUGAACCGUGAACUGGUAGCUUCAUCGGUUUGAUAUCCGGUUCGGUUCUAAUAACUAUGGCUGUAGUUUCUUCAGUGACAUGACAGUUAGCACGUCAAAGGACGUGCCAAACUUCUAUGUAAGGCCAUACCUUAUUCAUUUUAAAUGUAUGCAAUUUCAGCUACUUUAAGCUUACACACUUUCUCUCUCCAUACACUUUGUAUUCACCGGUUAUUUAACUUGACCGUCAGAGAGCCAUUCUCGAAAACAACUUUGGUGACCGUUCUCACUAUUCCUAUUUUGCAGCUAGGUCUAGCAAGCCUAAAACACCGUCCACUGCCUCCAACCGUCGUGUAGCCACCGCAGGUGUCUAUUUUCGAUUUCCUCUCUAUCAUUUCUGGUAUCCACCUGAUAA
rnacentral:lncRNA from 1 species